rnacentral:misc_RNA from 1 species
AAGUCGUAACAAGGUUUCCGUAGGUGAACCUGCGGAAGGAUCAUCAAAAAAGGUUUCUUUUUAUAUUUGACCACACUGAAUGUGUUUAUAUGCAUAUAUGCGUUUAUAUGGAUGAUUUUUUUUGUGUGUGUGUAUGAGGUGAUUUUUAUAUAUAUUACUUUAUAUAUAUGUAAAAAAAAAUCAUCAUAUACGUAUAUUAUAUAUAUAAUUAGAUAUAUUUCCCUCAUUUUUUGAGGGAAAAAACACUAUAAAACCUUUAUAUAUUCUUAGUCUGAUGUUAUAAAAAAGAAGAGAGAAUCACAACUUUUAGCAAUGGAUCUCUCGGCUCUU